AAAGCAGUAAGUUACAUAGACUAUUGUCGUUCAAAGACAAACGAGGGUAAUUUACCUCUGCUUUU
rnacentral:tRNA from 1 species